rnacentral:lncRNA from 1 species
AUGGUGUACGUGGACUCAAGGGAUCCAAAGGUGAAAAGGGUGAAGAUGGUUUUCCAGGAUUUAAAGGUGACAUGGGUCUUAAAGGUGACCGGGGAGAAAUUGGUCAGCCAGGUCCACGAGGAGAAGAUGGCCCAGAAGGUCCAAAAGGUCGAGCUGGUCCAUCUGGGGACCCAGGUGCUGCUGGUCCAGCUGGGGAAAAGGGUAAGCUUGGUGUACCAGGACUGCCAGGAUAUCCAGGAAGACAAGGUCCAAAGGGCUCAACUGGUUUCCCAGGAUUUCCAGGUGCCAAUGGAGAGAAAGGUGCAAGGGUAUGAUAUUUCAUUCUUGCAUAACAGUUAAUUAACUUCUAAAAUUCAGCACUAGGGGAAAAGACUGAAACCUAGGUUUAAUAGUAACUUGUUACUAUCUAAAGAAUGAUAAAAACAGGCUUUUCACAUUCAAGAUGGACCUUUAUCUUUAAGUAAAACAGGACAUACUGGUGAAUUAUUUACAAGUCUUUAAGGUAUUAAUCUAAAUAUAAUCUAUAACAUACUAAAUACAAGAACUUGGACACUUUCUUGCUGCACAUACUGCCAUAAUUAUAUAAUUUGAAAAAGAGACUAAAAACCACCUUUGCUGAAGGAUUUGGGGUUUUUUGAAGACAAUAUAGCUGAGUGAGUUGGCAAGAACUAUUUUCCUGUAUCCCAUGAAUUAUCCUGCUACAAUUUACCCUCAAGGAAAUUCAACUUGUAUUUCAUUAAUAUUCUGACUUGCCACAAAG